AAAAUAAAAAAAUAAAAAAACUUGAUUCCUCUGCUAGGGUUUCAACCCUAGCUUCUACGCCACCGCGCCUCUGCCGUGAUCCCACCGUGGAAGGUGGUCGGAGUCGCACCCCAAAGGGCUUAUUGGCUCUUUUUGCGUAGAUUGAAGGCGUCGCCAGGUGAAGACCGAGGACGCUCGUGGCUGCGGCGCAAAGGCUUCCUCAGAAACCCUAAGGUUUCUGCAAAUGAUUUGGGCCACUGAGCUUUGGGCCCCUGUUGUAUUUCGGGUUUUGGACCACAUAAGCCCAUUUGUAAUUCUGACCCUUUAGACCCGGGCCAAAAUAGGGUGUUACAGAUGUAUUUCAAAUUUCACGACACUUUCCUAAA